rnacentral:misc_RNA from 1 species
AAAAGCCAUGGCAACCCUUUGUUUCACUUCAUCUCCGUCCUUUACUCUCGCCAAACAACUGUUACCCACCAAACUUCCUUCCCUUAAACUCAACUACGGAACAGGCAGAUCCCUGAAGACUAUAGUUAGGUCUUACAAAGUGGUGAUUGAACAUGAGGGUCAAUCCACAGAGCUGGAGGUUGAACCUGAUGAGACCAUACUAUCCAAGGCACUGGACUCUGGACUGUCGGUGCCUUAUGACUGCAUGCUUGGGGNNNNNNUAAUAAGCGGCACAGUUGACCAGAGUGAAGGUAUGCUUAGUGAUGAUGUGGUGGAGCGUGGGUAUACACUGUUGUGUGCAUCGUAUCCAACGUCAGAUUGUCGGAUUAGGACCAUUCCUGAAGAUGAGCUGCUGUCCUUGCAACUAGCAACAGCUAAUGACUGAAAUCUGUGCGCUUGAUUGAUAUUUCAGUUAAAAGUUUUGAUAUUGAACACUAAAUUCGAGCACAGUAUUUCUCAUGGGUAUGUUAUGGUGG